AUUAUAAUAACAUAACAUAUCAUAACAUUGAGUAAUAAAAAUAAAUUAAAAAACAAUGUUAUAUCAUUCAUCUUCUAAUUCGCCAUCUUUUACACUCCACUUUUUCAACAAAUUCUUUUUAAAAUUAUAUAUUUUAUAAUGCUUUAAAUUUUAUACUUAAAAAAAAUAAUUAAUAAACAUCAAUAAAAUUUAUCUUUAAUUCCUCCAUCUUCCACUGUCCAACUUCUUCAUCUAAUUCUCCAUCUG
rnacentral:lncRNA from 1 species